UUGCCAGACUCCUACGGGAGGCAGCAGUGGGGGAUAUUGCACAAUGGGGGAAACCCUGAUGCAGCGACGCCGCAUGGGUGAAGAAGCGCCUCGGCGCGUAAAGCCCUGUCAGCAGGGAAGAAAAUGACGGUACCUGAAGAAGAAGCCCCGGCUAACUACGUGCCAGCAGCCGCGGUAAUACGUAGGGGGCAAGCGUUAUCCGGAUUUACUGGGUGUAAAGGGGGCGCAGACGGCGAUGCAAGCCAGGAGUGAAAGCCCGGGGCCCAACCCCGGGACUGCUCUUGGAACUGCGUGGCUAGAGUGCAGGAGGGGCAGGCGGAAUUCCUGGUGUAGCGGUGAAAUGCGUAGAUAUCAGGAGGAACACCGGUGGCGAAGGCGGCCUGCUGGACUGCAACUGGCGUUGAGGCCCGAAAGCGUGGGGAGCAAACAGGAUUAGAUACCCGGGUAAG
rnacentral:rRNA from 1 species